UUUCUACAAUAAAAGUCGACUUGGAAUAAAAUAUUCUAUGCAAGUUACGAAUAAUACGUUCGCUGUGUAACACAUAAAUCGGACUCUACGGAAUAUUAACUAAAAAUCGUUGAAAAUUCUCGGAAUUAUUUAUAGUUAUUGUUUAAAUAAAAAAUAUAUAUAUUCAAAUUAUUUGCAGGUGUAAUCAGAAAACUAAAGACAUGUAACGUUUUGCAGAUUGCUCUCAAAUGAACUGCGAAACGAAAAGCGCGUUAUAUUUGUAAUUUUUUAUUUAAUUAUUUUUCUUCUUUACUUCCAUAUAUGCAAUGCUCCAAAAGAGCAAAAAUUCGGGUCAACGGCCAGUUGAGUAAAAUAUUGCUAAAAAAAACGUGUUUGAUUCUUACGGAAGUUGUACCGUAGCCUAAAUGAAGUACAUGUAUUUAUUAAUACGAUAAAAAAGGGAAACUGAAAAAUAUCUGAAGUUGUGCAAAAUGUUUUUUUUUUUAUACAAAUUUAAAUAAUUUAGGCAGCAGGAAAUACGGGUUUAUAAAUUUGAUCUGCUUUCGAGUCUAUGCAAAAUACAUAACGGUAGAUGCUUAUUUUUAUGUUUUUAUAUUAGAGGAUAUAAAAAAAUAUAUUGCUAACGCGCCGUCAACUUCAGUAUUGGUGACGCGGGCUAAAUAAAUGCAAAGAAUGGAUGAAGAAGAGAGAAUCAUCAGGUAAUUCCAAUAAAAUAUAAAUAAUAUAUUAAACAAGUUUACAGUUUCAGUAAAGCUAGAUUCGAUAAGCCAUAUCUACAUUUUUUGCCAAAAGAAGGAAAAUACUUCUGUUAAAGAAUCUUAUGAAACCCGGAGCCAGCAUUGGACAAAUCUUUUCAAAUGUUUUUGUUAGAGUUUGAUAUUUAAACGAUAUUCAAUUUUAUAUACAUAUUUUGACUGAAAAAGGUAACCGUAAAAAAAAUAUUAAAAUUAAAACAUAUGAAUAUAUAUGUAUAUACCGACACAUACAUACUUAUAUACAUAAAUACAUAUUUAAUUAUAAAAUCUACUUACGAAAAUAGUUUAGCGUCUCACGUGUCUGCUCUUUGGUUAAGCCUAAACCUUCGGUAGGUAUUUCUAAUGCUGGUGCAGGGACAAACCAAUCCUGAUUGGAAUACCCAGAAAAGUCGGUUAAGAAAUCCGACCGCACUUUAUAUUUAGGAAUUUGUUCCUCCAAGAGGGAAAAUAUCUCGACUUCAGGUAUAUUUUCGCUACUACAUAGAUCUGAAAUAAAUAAUGUUAUUUUUAUUUUUUGAUAUAGUAACAUUCAUAUGUAUGUACAUAUAUAAUGUAUGCAAGCAUGCAUUUAAAAAGUUUUAAAGGACCAAAAUGGUAAUUAGCUAUUGGUAUCUUGUGGAAGCAGGUCAAAUAUUUUACUUCCUUUAUAAAAUAUUGCUGCAUACAUACAUUGUGAAUAUGCAUACAUAUGUACAUACACGCGAAAUUUUGUGUUUUAUACCUGUACAGCAGCCAGCAUCGACCAUUUGCACUGCAGCUUUGACAUUCUGUUGUUGUUGUGUAAGGCGCUUCGUUGCUAGUUUGGGUAAAUGUUUAUUAAGAGUAGCUUGUGCGGAUGGACUUAGCGGAGCGGAGGACCUCAUAGGCGUUGAAAGCAUAAAAAUGCUUGAUUCCUAGAAAAGUAAACACAUUUUUAAAAAUUAAUUAAUUCACCAAUAAUAAGGACUGUUUUCUCAAUGUCUGGUUAACUGCCAUCUCUCAGUUAAGUUCAGUUUAGAAAAUAAAGGUUUUUUAACGAAUGAAAUAAUCUUGGUUAACCAAAAGUUAACUAACAGAUGGUUGCUAACCAGACAUUUAUAAAACGGCAUUUAAAAUUUUAAAUACAUUUAUUUCAAAAAACAAAAAACAAUAUGAUUAUUUGUGUGAAACAAAUAAAUAAAAUUUUGUUUUUGGUCAACCCA